AUCGAACGCUGGCGGCAGGCCUAACACAUGCAAGUCGAACGAGUGGCGGACGGGUGAGUAAUGUCUGGGAAACUGCGCGAUGGAGGGGGAUAACUACUGGAAACGGUAGCUAAUACCGCAUACCAUCGGAUGUGCCCAGGUGGGAUUAGCUAGUGGGUGGGGUAACGGCUCACCUAGGCGACGCUCCCUAGCUGGUCUGAGAGGCUGACCAGCCACACUGGAACUGAGACACGGCCCAGACUCCUACGGGAGGCAGCAGUGGGGAAUAUUGCGCAAUGGGCGAAAGCCUGAUCCAGCCAUGCCGCGUGUAUGAAGAAGGCCUUCGGGUCGUAAAGUACUUUCAGCGGGGAGGCGUUACUCGAAGAAGAAGCACCGGCUAACUCCGUGCCAGCAGCCGCGGUAAUAC
rnacentral:rRNA from 1 species